rnacentral:lncRNA from 1 species
GGGGCCCAGAGUCCCUCCCCUCGCUGGGCCCCGGUCCCGCCGGCGUCUAUAACGCCGUCGCAGCGGCCUUUAACCCCGCCUCUCACUCGAGCCCUGCCCGCGUCCAAGUCCCGCCCUCAAGGCGGCCUCAGCUACGACCGCCGCGCGCCUCCCUGGAGGCGCCCGCUCCUGCCCGGAGCCCUGCCCGUCUUGGGCCCGCCCUUCCGGGCCCUGCCGCGUUGAGUGGCGGAGUCGGGAUCCAGGUGGCCCGCCGGCCGGCUCAGUCCACCUCCCCGCUCCCGGCCUCGCGCCCCACCCCUUGGAUGAGAAAACUGAAACUGAGAGGGGACGUGACUGAUCCAACGCCCAACCCAGAGCUGGAUCACAAGGAAGACUGGAAGCUCCACUCCCCCAUGGAGCUUCCCUGUUACCAGAGGACACAAACACACAUCUGCAUGUUGAUCUGAGAGCCCUGUGUGGAGAGGAACUAGGCCCCCAGCCAACAACCAGCAGUGACUCACUGUGAGAGAGUGAAUCAUCUUGGAAGUGGAUCCUAAGCCCCAAUAGAGACUUCAGAUGAAACUGCAACCCUGGCUGACAUCUGACUGCAGUGGCAUAAGAAACCCUUAUGUCAGAAUCACCCUGCAAAGCCCAAAUUCUUGACCCACCAAGUGAAAGAGAAUAAAUGACGAUUGUUGUGUUUGAACUCCCAUGUUUUUGGGUAAUCAGUUCCACGGCAAUAAAUAACUAAUGUACUAGA